rnacentral:rRNA from 1 species
GUGAGUGAUGAAGGCUUUCGGGUCGUAAAACUCUGUUGUUAGGGAAGAACAAGUGCUAGUUGAAUAAGCUGGCACCUUGACGGUACCUAACCAGAAAGCCACGGCUAACUACGUGCCAGCAGCCGCGGUAAUACGUAGGUGGCAAGCGUUAUCCGGAAUUAUUGGGCGUAAAGCGCGCGCAGGUGGUUUCUUAAGUCUGAUGUGAAAGCCCACGGCUCAACCGUGGAGGGUCAUUGGAAACUGGGAGACUUGAGUGCAGAAGAGGAAAGUGGAAUUCCAUGUGUAGCGGUGAAAUGCGUAGAGAUAUGGAGGAACACCAGUGGCGAAGGCGACUUUCUGGUCUGUAACUGACACUGAGGCGCGAAAGCGUGGGGAGCAAACAGAAUUAGAUACCCUGGUAG